GGGCGUGCGGGCGGGAAGGAGCGCACGGCGGGGGGGGCGCAGAGCCCUAUCCACGUCCCCAGGCCUUUUGUUUAACCUGCGUCGACGCACAGGAAGGUCCCAGCUUUAUUUCUGCCCCAUUUUUACCAUUAUUAUUACUAUCCCCCCCCGCUCUGUGCUCGCGCCCUUCGGGGCCAAAUGGGGCAGAACUCUUCAGGGUGGAUUUUCAGAGCGCCGAGUGCAGGAAUUCCUGCCAGCUCGCCUUUGUGCCAGCCUGCCCCGGCCUUCGGCGUCUCAUUCGGAUGGAGCCUGGCAUCCAGGCACCGCCCAUUUCUUGGCGUUGAGCUGAGAGGAGAAGGAAAGGGGAGAGAGCGAGCGAGAGAAGGGGAAAAAAAAAAAAAAAGCUGUCUCACUCCAACUGGCCUUUCUCGGAAAAGGAUCCUUCCCCGGUGACCGUCCGGAUAAGCGGAGCUAAAAGCAGCCACUGCUCCACAACACAACCACGCUCCCGGCGGUGCAUCCCCUCUUGCUGCCUCGGUACGGAACGGAACCUGGCUCUCCAUUGUUUUGGUUGGUUGGUUGGUUGGUUGGUUGUUGGUUGGGGUGCUUUUUGCCUUUGAUUUGAAAUAGCCUUUCGUUCCGCCCGGCGCUUUGUUGUUGCUGCAAUCCGCCCUUCUCCCCCCAAAAAACCCCUUCCCCGCUGCUGAGGCUGGGAUUGACCCACAUGGAGGGACGUGCCCUCGUGUCCCACCUCGGAGCACCACUCGAGGAUAAGAGGAUCGUUUCUUUUCUUUUUUGGAGGGAUCUGGGGACGAGGGAAACGCUGCAGUCUGGUUCUGUUGGUGUUAACUGUUUAGAAGCUGGCACGACGUGCCGGGAUGGGCGCGGGGCCGCAGCUGAGCCCCAUAGCUGGGCACAGGGCUGUGCUGGGCAAUGAUGGGCAAGGGAGCCGCAGGGAGGGCUGUCAUGGAGCCGUGGUGGCCUCCAGGCUCUGGAGAUGCUCCAGCUGGGAGCUGUAGGCUGCCUGGCCAAGGCACGGGGCGUUGCAGAGGGCGAUUCGCGGAGCUUCACACCUCUCCCCGCUGUGCCGAAGCUCUCCAGGUCUGGCUGAGCUCGGGGGUUUUGGCCGUAGCGUGUGGGACUCUGCCCUCUUUCUGUCAGACUUAAUUGAGGCCCGUUUGGGAUGCAACAAAAGCAGCCUGUCUGCAGGGCAGGGUCCCCCUGCCUCCUUCCUGCCACGCACUAUGCAGGUGCUCAGGAGCCAUGCGAACCGCCCCUCCUCCUUCACCAAAUUUUUCCUCCUCCUUCCCCACUCCUGGCUUCCCCCUCCUCCUCCCUUCUCCAAAAACAAUAUUCUCUCUCUCUGCAAGUGACGCACAGCCCUACAGCAGAGCCUUUGAACUGGCUGCAGAGCACCCAAACGCCCCAGCUCAGCUUCACCUCCAUCUCCCACCCAUUCUCCAGGGGACAUCCCCGACUUUGUCUCGCACCCCACUCACCUCCUAGAGAUGCUUUCUCAGGUGCUGGGUGCCUUAUGGGCCUGGCAGCAACCUGUGUUGCUUUGUGCAUUGCAUUUUGGAUGCUGGGGUGCUUUGGUUCUGCUCUGAACCUUCCCACUCGCUUGCUCUUCAGCCCUAAGGCAAAGCAGUGCUUGCAGCGGGCCGAGCAGAUGCAGGGAGAUGCUGAAGUGGGUUCUGAAUGCAGCUACCAACCUCCUCUUCGGGGGGAGUGCAGCUCAGGGCCGUGGCCUUUGCUGGCAGUUCCCAUUUUUGAGGCUCCUCGCUGUGGUCCCUGGCUCUCGUGCUGCACAGCGGUUGGCUGCGGAGCUGAAUGCCCACGUUGCUUUCAGCAGGAACUGGGGGCGGUCAGAUCUGGCCCCAAAACGUGGCAGAAAAUACCCUCUGCAGCAGAGCCCAUUUACAUCUGGUUUACAUCCAGACCUUUAAUGUUAAUGAGGAGGGAACAUGAGCAUUUUCCUCAUCGCUCUAGCUUUUCCCUUGCAGAUUUUUGACAUAAACGGGGGCUGGGGUGGAAGCAGACCUUUUCCACUUUGCCCCCAACUUCUUUUGCUGCCCUGGGAGAAGUAGCAGAGGGCUGCUGCCAAAAAAAAACCCACUGAAGCUGCUGGUAUCGCUCCGUAGGGCUCUGCAGCGGGCAGCCCCUUGAGCAGAAAAAAUCUGAACUCGAGGAAGACGCUUCUGAUAUGUCCUAAGCAAACCGUGUGGCCCCAUCCAGCCAAGGGCUGCAGCUGUAUUAUUGCAUGCAGCUCGCAGCAAAACAGGGCUCGGGCUUCCAGAACAUGGCUCAGCAAAAAGGAUAAAUUCUUGAAACUGGCAGUCCAGACCGUCCUGAUGCUGAUUGCCUUUGAACCUGGAGUUUGCUCCCUGGCUGCACCAUCUCUGGGGGGAGAGCAGGAGCUCCCC
rnacentral:lncRNA from 1 species